rnacentral:lncRNA from 1 species
GAAUGGUACACCGUUGCAUUGAUUCAUCAUCAGCUGACAUACGCAUCUGUGCUUAGUUUACAAUAAUUUUACAUCGUCGGGCACGUCCAGGCAGCUGCUAGCUGGUCUGGUCUGGUCUGAUCUGACGAGCUCACGAGCACAAAGCAAUACGCUGGCGCGUGCAACUACUACACGCCUACUCACGAGCAGAGGGCACAUCACUUGCCGGGGACGAAGUUGGUGGCGUACGCCCAUGCGUUGUUGGCGACGGGGUCGGCGACGUGGUCGAAGAGGUUCUCGAUGGGUCCCUUGCCGGUGACGAUGGCCUGCACGAAGAACCCGAACAUGGAGAACAUGGCGAGGCGGCCGUUCUUGAGCUCCUUCACCUUGAGCUCGGCGGCGGUGUCCGGGUCGUCGGCGAGGCCCAGCGGGUCGAAGGCGCCGCCGGGGUAGACCUUGUCGAGUCCCUCCCCGAGCGGGCCGCCGCCGACGCGGUAGCCCUCGACGAAGCCCAUGAGCACGACCUGGCAGGCCCAGAUGGCCAGGAUGCUCUGCGCGUGCACCAGGUUGGGGUUGCCCAGGUAGUCCAGCCCGCCCUCGGAGAAGAUCUGCGCGCCGGCCUUGAACCACACCGCCUCGCCGAACUUGACGCCGUUCUUGGCAAG